rnacentral:rRNA from 1 species
GACGAACGCUGGCGGCGUGCUUAACACAUGCAAGUCGAACGGAAAGGCCCUGCUUUUGUGGGGUGCUCGAGUGGCGAACGGGUGAGUAACACGUGAGUAACCUGCCCUUGACUUUGGGAUAACUUCAGGAAACUGGGGCUAAUACCGGAUAGGAGCUCCUGCUGCAUGGUGGGGGUUGGAAAGUUUCGGCGGUUGGGGAUGGACUCGCGGCUUAUCAGCUUGUUGGUGGGGUAGGGGCUUACCAAGGCUUUGACGGGUAGCCGGCCUGAGAGGGUGACCGGCCACAUUGGGACUGAGAUACGGCCCAGACUCCUACGGGAGGCAGCAGUGGGGAAUAUUGCACAAUGGGCGGAAGCCUGAUGCAGCAACGCCGCGUGCGGGAUGACGGCCUUCGGGUUGUAAACCGCUUUCGCCUGUGACGAAGCGUGAGUGACGGUAAUGGGUAAAGAAGCACCGGCUGACUACGUG